ensembl:lncRNA GBA1LP glucosylceramidase beta 1 like, pseudogene
GAGACUCUGGAACCCCUGUGCUCUUCUCCUCAUCUAGUGACCCUGAGGUGAUGGAGUUUUCAAGUCCUUCCAGAGAGGAAUGUCCCAAGCCUUCGGGUAGGGUAAGCAUCAUGGCUGGCAGCCUCACAGGAUUGCUUCUACUUCAGGCAGUGUCGUGGGCAUCAGAUGAGUGAGUCAAGGCAGUGGGGAGGUAGCACAGAGCCUCCCUUCUGCCUCAUAGUCCUUUGGUAGCCUUCCAGUAAGCUGGUGGUAGACUUUUAGUAGGUGCUCAAUAAAUCCUUUUGAGUGACUGAGACCAACUUUGGGGUGAGGAUUUUUGAAACCGUCUUCAGUCUCUCCAAACAGCUGUGUCCGUUCUCCACAUCCUUGUCAGACCUCACCUCUGCUUGUGCUCCCUCCCUCCCAGGUGGUGCCCCUGCAUCCCUAAAAGCUUCAGUACAGCUCGGUGGUCUGUGUCUGCAAUGCCACAUACUGUGACUCUUGACCCCCCGACCUUUCCUGCCCUAGGUGCCUUCAGCCGCUACAAGAGCAGAAGCAGUGGGCAUUGGAUGGAGCUGAGUACAGGACCAUACAGGCUAAUUGCACCGGCACAGGUAACCAUUACACCCUUCACCCCCCGGGCCAGGCUGGGUCCUCCUAGAGGUAAACGGUGUCAGUGAUCACCAUGGAGUUUCUCCCCUGGGCACUGAUAACCCUGUGGAUGUCCUCAGGCCUGCUACUGAUCCUGCAGCCAGAAGUUCCAGAAAGUGAAGGGAUUUGGAGGGGCCGUGACAGAUGCAGGUGCCCUCAACAUCCUUGCCCUGUCACCCCCUGCCCAGAAUUUGCUACUUAAAUGGUACUUCUCUGAAGAAGAUGAGGAGGAAGGGGACAGGAUGACAUAGAGCCACUGACACUUUUCUUUGCCAAUUCUUUGGACCCUGACUUCUGCCCAUCCCUGACAUUUGGUUCCUGUCUUAAUGCCAGUGAAAUAAGAUUUCGCCGCCUAUCAUCUGCUAACUGCUACGGACUCAGGCUCAGAAAGGCCUGCGCUUCACCCAGGAAUCGGAUAUAACAUCAUCUGGGUACCCAUGGCCAGCUGUGACUUCUCCAUCCGCACCUACACCUAUGCAGACACCCCUGAUGAUUUCCAGUUGCACAACUUCAGCCUCCCAGAGGAAGAUACCAAGCUCAAGAUACCCCUGAUUCACCGAGCCCUGCAGUUGGCCCAGCGUCCCGUUUCACUCCUUGCCAGCCCCUGGACAUCACCCACUCGGCUCAAGACCAGGGGAGCGGGGAAUGGGAAGGGGCCACUCAAGGGACAGCCCAGAGACAUCUACCACCAGACCUGGGCCAGAUACAUUGUGAAGUAAGGGAUCAGCAAGGAUGUGGGAUCAGGACUGGCCUCCCCUUUGGCCAUGCUGAUCUGUGUCCCAACCCUCAACCUGGUUCCACUUCCAGAUCUGCCUGUCCUCAGCUCACCUUUCUACCUUCUGGGCCUUUCAAACUUGGAUCUGUCAGUCUUGCCCACUCCAUCAGGCUUCCUGUUCUCUCGGUCUGGCCCACUUUCUUGGCUGGAUCAUUCAUGACCUUUCUCUUGCCAGGUUCCUGGAUGCCUAUGCUGAGCACAAGUUACAGUUCUGGGCAGUGACAGCUGAAAAUGAGCCUUCUGCUGGGCUGUUGAGUGGAUACCCCUUCCAGUGCCUGGGCUUCACCCCUGAACAUCAGCGAGACUUCAUUGCCCGUGACCUAGGUCCUACCCUUGCCAACGGUACUCACCACAAUGUCCGCCUACUCAUGCUGGAUGACCAACGCUUGCUGCUGCCCCACUGGGCAAAGGUGGUACUGACAGACCCAGAAGCAGCUAAGUAUGUUCAUGGUAUUGCUGUACAUUGGUACCUGGACUUUCUGGCUCCAGCCAAAGCCACCCUAAGGGAGACACACCACCUGUUCCCCAACACCAUGCUCUUUGCCUCAGAGGCCUGUGUGGGUUCCAAGUUCUGGGAGCAGAGUGUGCGGCUAGGCUCCUGGGAUCGAGGGAUGCAGUACAGCCACAGCAUCAUCACAAACCUCCUGUACCAUGUGGUCGGCUGGACCGACUGGAACCCAUCAUUGUAGACAUCACCAAGCACACGUUUUACAAACAGCCCAUGUUCUACCACCUUGGCCACUUCAGCAAGUUCAUUCCUGAGGGCUCCCAGAGAGUGGGGCUGGUUGCCAGUCAGAAGAACGACCCGGACGCAGUGGCACUGAUGCAUCCCGAUGGCUCUGCUGUUGUGGUCGUGCUAAACCGCUCCUCUAAGGAUGUGCCUCUUACCAUCAAGGAUCCUGCUGUGGGCUUCCUGGAGACAAUCUCACCUGGCUACUCCAUUCACACCUACCUGUGGCGUCGCCAGUGAUGGAGCAGAUACUCAAGGAGGCACUGGGCUCAGCCUGGGCAUUAAAGGGACAGAGUCAGCUCACACGCUGUCUGUGACUAAAGAGGGCACAGCAGGGCCAGUGUGAGCUUACAGCGACGUAAGCCCAGGGGCAAUGGUUUGGGUGACUCACUUUCCCCUCUAGGUGGUGCCAGGGGCUGGAGGCCCCUAGAAAAAGAUCAGUAAGCCCCAGUGUCCCCCCAGCCCCCAUGCUUAUGUGAACAUGCGCUGUGUGCUGCUUGCUUUGGAAACUGGGCCUGGGUCCAGGCCUAGGGUGAGCUCACUGUCCGUACAAACACAAGAUCAGGGCUGAGGGUAAGGAAAAGAAGAGACUAGGAAAGCUGGGCCCAAAACUGGAGACUGUUUGUCUUUCCUGGAGAUGCAGAACUGGGCCCGUGGAGCAGCAGUGUCAGCAUCAGGGCGGAAGCCUUAAAGCAGCAGCGGGUGUGCCCAGGCACCCAGAUGAUUCCUAUGGCACCAGCCAGGAAAAAUGGCAGCUCUUAAAGGAGAAAAUGUUUGAGCCCAGUCA